GCUGUGUAGAUGUAGUGUGGUAGGCACAGUAGUGGCUCCCCAAAGAUGUCUUUGUCCUAAUUACCAAACCUGUGAAUAUGUUACCUUACAAGGCAAAAGGGACUUGGAAAUGUGAUUAAGGAUUUUAAGAUGGGCAGAUUAUCCUGAGUUAUCCUCAUGAGUCCAAUGUAAUCACAAGGAUCCUUACAAGUGAAAGAGAGAAGCAAGAGAGUCAGAACCCAGUCCAUCACUGCUGGCUUUGAAGAUGAAGGAAAAGGAUUAUGAGCCAAGGAAUUCAGACAACCUCUAGAAGCCAGAAAAGAUGCAGACUGGCACUUGACAGCGAGCUGUCUAACAGGAGAGAAGCAGUGCCCUUUGUUACUUCUAGUAAACUUCUGCUUCAUCACUGAUUAUGAACUCUUGCUCUGUCACCCAGGCGGAGUGCAGUGGUGUGCUCUCAGCUUAUCACAACCUCCACCUCCCAGGUUCAAACUAUUCUCCUGCCGUAGCCUCCUGAGGAGCUGGGAUUGAUUACAGGCAUGUACCACCGCACUGGACUAUUUUUUUUAUUUUAGUAGAGAUGGGUUUUCACCAUGUUGGCCAUGCGGGUCUUGAACUCCUGACCUCAAUUGAUCCACUUGACUCAGC
rnacentral:lncRNA from 13 species